UUGACCGUAUCGGAUUAUUGGGCGUAAGAGCUCGUAGGCGGUUUGUCGCGUCUGCCGUGAAAGUCCGGGGCUCAACUCCGGAUCUGCGGUGGGUACGGGCAGACUAGAGUGAUGUAGGGGAGACUGGAAUUCCUGGUGUAGCGGUGAAAUGCGCAGAUAUCAGGAGGAACACCGAUGGCGAAGGCAGGUCUCUGGGCAUUAACUGACGCUGAGGAGCGAAAGCAUGGGGAGCGAACAGGAUUAGAUACCCUGGUAGUCCAUGCCGUAAACGUUGGGCACUAGGUGUGGGGGACAUUCCACGUUUUCCGCGCCGUAGCUAACGCAUUAAGUGCCCCGCCUGGGGAGUACGGCCGCAAGGCUAAAACUCAAAGGAAUUGACGGGGGCCCGCACAAGUGGCGGAGCAUGCGGAUUAAUUCGAUGCAACGCGAAGAACCUUACCAAGGCUUGACAUGGGCCGGACCGGGCUGGAAACAGUCCUUCCCCUUUGGGGCCGGUUCACAGGUGGUGCAUGGUUGUCGUCAGCUCGUGUCGUGAGAUGUUGGGUUAAGUCCCGCAACGAGCGCAACCCUCGUUCCAUGUCGCCAGCGCGUAAUGGCGGGGACUCAUGGGAGACUGCCGGGGUCAACUCGGAGGAAGGUGGGGACGACGUCAAAUCAUCAUGCCCCUUAUGUCUUGGGCUUCACGCAUGCUACAAUGGCCGGUACAAAGGGUUGCGAUACUGUGAGGUGGAGCUAAUCCCAAAAAGCCGGUCUCAGUUCGGAUUGGGGUCUGCAACUCGACCCCAUGAAGUCGGAGUCGCUAGUAAUCGCAGAUCAGCAACGCUGCGGUGAAUACGUUCCCGGGCCUUGUACACACCGCCCGUCAAGUCACGAAAGUUGGUAACACCCGAAGCCGGUGGCCUAACCCCUUGUGGGAGGGAGCUGUCGAAGGUGGGACUGGCGAUUGGGACUAAUUCGUAACAGGUAACC
rnacentral:rRNA from 1 species